UAGGGAAUAUUGCGCAAUGGGCGAAAGCCUGACGCAGCGACGCCGCGUGAGUGAUGAAGGCCUUCGGGUCGUAAAGCUCUGUUGUGAGGGAAAAUGAUGAUGGUACCUCAUAAGAAAGGACCGGCUAACUUCGUGCCAGCAGCCGCGGUAAGACGAGGGGUCCUAGCGUUGUUCGGAAUCAUUGGGCGUAAAGCGCAUGUAGGCGGCCUAGCAAGUCAGGUGUGAAAGCCCAGGGCUCAACCCUGGAAGUGCACUUGAUACUGCUGGGCUUGAAUAUGGGAGAGGAUAGUGGAAUUCCUGGUGUAGUGGUGAAAUACGUAGAUAUCAGGAGGAACACCGGUGGCGAAGGCGGCUAUCUGGCCCAAUAUUGACGCUGAGAUGCGAAAGCGCGGGGAUCAAACAGG
rnacentral:rRNA from 1 species